rnacentral:rRNA from 1 species
AUCGAACGCUGGCGGCAGGCCUAAUACAUGCAAGUCGAGCGAGCGGCGGACGGGUGAGUAAUGUAUGGGGAUCUGCCCGAUAUAGGGGGAUAACUACUGGAAACGGUGGCUAAUACUGCAUACUAUCGGAUGAACCCUAAGGGGAUUAGCUAGUCGGUGGGGUAAAGGCUCACCUAGGCGACGAUCCCUAGCUGGUCUGCGAGGCUGAUCGGCCACACUGGGACUGAGACACGGCCCAGACUCCUACGGGAGGCAGCAGUGGGGAAUAUUGCGCAAUGGGCGCAAGCCUGAUGCAGCCAUGCCGCGUGUAUGAAGAAGGCUUUCGGGUUGUAAAGUACUGUCAGCGGGGAGGCGUUACCCGAAGAAGAAGCACCGGCUAACUCCGUGCCAGCAGCCGCGGUAAUAC